rnacentral:rRNA from 1 species
UGCGCAGUCUACCAUGCAGUCGAGCGGCAGCGGGGGGUAUCUUGCUACUUUUGCCGGCGAGCGGCGGACGGGUGAGUAAUGCCUGGGGAUCUGCCCAGUCUAGGGGGAUAACUGCUGGAAACGGCUGCUAAUACCGCAUACGCCCUACGGGGGAAAGCAGGGGACCUUCGGGCCUUGCGCGAUUGGAUGAACCCAGGUGGGAUUAGCUAGUUGGUGAGGUAAUGGCUCACCAAGGCGACGAUCCCUAUCUGGUCUGAAAGGAUGAUCAGCCUCACUGGAACUGAGACACGGUCCAGACUCCUACGGGAGGCAGCGGUGGGGAAUAUUGCACAAUGGGGGAAACCCUGAUGCAGCCAUGCCGCGUGUGUGAAGAAGGCCUUCGGGUUGUAAAGCACUUUCACCGAGGAGGAAAGGUUGGUAGCUAAUAACUGCCAGCUGUGACGUUACUCGCACAAUAAGCACCGGCUAACUCCGUGCCAGCGGCCGCGGUAAUACGGAGGGUGCAAGCGUUAAUCGGAAUUACUGGGCGUAAAGCGCACGCACGCGGUUGGAUAAGUUAGAUGUGAAAGCCCCGGGCUCAACCUGGGAAUUGCAUUUACAACUGUCCAGCUAGAGUCUUGUAGAGGGGGGUAGAAUUCCAGGUGUAGCGGUGAAAUGCGUAUAGAUCUGGAUGAAUACCGGUGGCGAAGGCGGCCCCCUGUACAAAGACUGACGCUCACGUGCAAAAGCGUGAGGAGCAAACAGGAUUAGAUACCCUGAUACUCCACGCCGUAAACGAUGUCGAUUUGGAGGCUGUGUCCUUGAGACGUGGCUUCCUGGAGGCUAACGCGUUAAAUCGUACCGCCCUGGCGGAGUACGGACGUCAAGGCUUGAAAAGCUUCAAA